rnacentral:lncRNA from 9 species
CUCCUCCCAGCUAUGUGACUCUGGGCAAGUCACUGUCCCUCUCGGAGCCUUCAGGUGGUGUCCCCUGGAAAAUGCAUCCACAUCCCACAGGGCUGUUGCAGUGAGUUCCUGAGAGGUUGUGAAGAGUCCCCUCUGGUAUGGGGACCCAAGGUUGACCUUACUCCAAGUACCUCUUGGGCGUGGCUGCCAUGCUCGGGUCCCCCGGACCACUAGCCACCAUGCUCUGCCUCAACCCCAGGACAUGAUGGCAAGACAGUUUGGUUACCCGGCUGAGUACUCUCUGGCUCCUGUCUCUCUGAAUGGAAUGUUGCCAAUGGAUUUGUGUUCUAGAACCAAUGGGGUCAGUUUGCUUGGGGAGCCAUGGGCCCUGCCUCCUGCCCGCUGGAACCCACGGAUGCCUAGCGCCUCCUGAUUUCUAGGCCAGUUCAGACCCAUCUGCCCAAUGAACUUUCAGUGCCACCUGCUCUAGACCGGGCACCCUGCCAACACUGAAGAUGGCAGUGAACCACACAGACCAAGCCUGCCCUCCUGGCGCUGACAGUCCAGAGGGGAAACACACCUGUAACAGGUAACUCCAGAAAGAAUCAGCUCAUUAUGGUGUCAGGGUCGUUUCUCCUGGCCCAGGGAUUCAGGGAGGGUCCCCUGGGCAGGGGACACUUAAGCUGAGAUGGCAAGAUGAAGAGCAGAAAGCAUAGUUCUAUCCAGAGGGAGAAACAUACCUGAGGACCCCCGGGGAGUGAAGACAUAAAGCUGUCCAGAUUGGAGAGAAGGUUCCAAUGGCUCAACUCGGAACCCAAGGUUAAGGGAGGGGCUGCAGGGAGCCAGACCUUCGAACGCUACAUGGAGAGCCCGGAGAGCACGGAUGGGUAGAGACGGAAGUCUUACAUUUUAGAAAGGUCUGUCUGUGAGUUCCCAUUGUGGUGCAAUGGGAUCUGUGGCUUCUCUGGAUCCCAGGUUGAAUCCCCGGACUGGCACAAUGGGUUAAGGAUUCAGCGUUACUACAGCUGUGGCAUAGGUCAACUGCAGCUCCGCUCUGACCCCUGGCCUGAAAACCCCAUAUGCCACGGGGUGGCCAAAACAUACAAACAAACAAAGAUCUGUCUGGUGGACGUGGAGGGCAGAUUGGACAAGGAGGUGGGCAGAGAGUGGGAGCUGGGGGCCUGGCCUGCAUCGGAGGAGGGGCAGCGGGCACAGGGUGAAAGAAGCUGACUUCUUUUUUUUUUGGCUGUGCCCAUGGCAUGCGGAAGCUCCAGGACCUGUGCCACAGCAGUGACCCAGGCCACAGCAGUGACAAGGCUGGAUCCUUAACCCACCGAGCCACCAGGGAACUCUGGGCUAACUGCUUGAAGGGAGAAGCUCCUUAGGUCUUGG